rnacentral:rRNA from 1 species
UACAGAGGUCCCGAGCGUUGUUCGGAUUCACUGGGCGUAAAGGGUGCGUAGGUGGUGAGGUAAGUCGGAUGUGAAAGCUCCAAGCUCAACUUGGAAAUGGCAUUGGAAACUACCUUGCUAGAGGGUUUGAGGGGGGACUGGAAUACUUGGUGUAGCAGUGAAAUGCGUAGAUAUCAGGAGGAACACCGAUGGCGAAGGCAGGUCUCUGGGCUGACACUGACGCUCAUGCACGAAAGCGUGGGGAGCAAACAGG